AAUAGGAGGCUGGUGGUUGCUUCCUAAUUAACGAAGCACUUGCUGCGUCUAGCCCCCCAAAACCCCCGUUUCGUCUCCUUGAGGAAGAUGGACCCCAGUGAGCAUAAGGCACCAAGGGCUUCAGGACAGCGGAUCCUCCUGAACGCUGACAACCCCCGGGCAUCAUUUUGCGAUGGUCCCUCUUCGUUCGUCACCGGUGACGUCAUCCUCGCUCCCCUCACGUCAGCUGCUCAAUGACCCUCUGCACAGUCGCAUGUCCCCGUUAGGGGUGGUGGCACCCCACCUUCCUGCCCCCAGAAGCAAGAAUUGCUCUUCUGAGGAGCGGAGCGUCAGCCCUCACAUCUGCUGUUUCCUCUGCCAACCACUCUCCAGAAGCCUCCCUCCCGGCCCCCCCCUCCCCGGGCGACAGCACAGCCAGCGGGCGGGCAUCUUCCAUCUGUACCAUGCUUCCAUCCGUCUGGCUGUGCGUCAGCCAUGGUACCAUCGCUCGGGCUUCAGAUCUCUAAAGGGCACUUUAUUCCGAACCCUGGUGUGUGUCUGAGGCUAAGCCUCAUUUUUUUUUUUGAAAGAAGCAGGAUCCUGUGGUGAACACACUCACGCUGGAAGAGGGGGCCAGCGAUGUUGUUUGGCAAAUUAUGGGCUUUCUUUUAUUGCAAUUAAAAAGUAAAAAAGCCCACCAGGAAAA